CGUGUAGGCGGUUUGGUUAGUCGGUCGUGUAAUCCCUCGGCUCAACCGAGGAACUGCGAUCGAUACUGCCAGACUAGAGUGCGGGAGAGGAGAGUGGAAUUCCCAGUGUAGCGGUGAAAUGCGUAGAUAUUGGGAGGAACACCAGUGGCGAAGGCGGCUCUCUGGACCGCAACUGACGCUGAGGCGCGAAAGCGUGGGGAGCAAACG
rnacentral:rRNA from 1 species